rnacentral:rRNA from 1 species
AGUGAACGCUGGCGGUAGGCCUAACACAUGCAAGUCGAACGGCAGCACAGUAAGAGCUUGCUCUUACUGGUGGCGAGUGGCGGACGGGUGAGGAAUACAUCGGAAUCUACUUUUUCGUGGGGGAUAACGUAGGGAAACUUACGCUAAUACCGCAUACUACCUACGGGUGAAAGCAGGAGAUCUUCGGACCUUUCGCGAUUGAAUGAGCCGAUGUCGGAUUAGCUAGUUGGCGGGGUAAAGGCCCACCAAGGCGACGAUCCGUAGCUGGUCUGAGAGGAUGAUCAGCCACACUGGAACUGAGACACGGUCCAGACUCCUACGGGAGGCAGCAGUGGGGAAUAUUGGACAAUGGGCGCAAGCCUGAUCCAGCAAUACCGCGUGAGUGAAGAAGGCCUUCGGGUUGUAAAGCCCUUUUGUUGGGAAAGAAAAGCAGCAGGUUAAUACCCCGCUGUUCUGACGGUACCCAAAGAAUAAGCACCGGCUAACUUCGUG